CUGGACAAGGGUGAGAGGGUAGUGGAGUUAGAGGUGGUAACUGGAGGAGGAGGUGAUGGAAGGGAUGGGCGUGACUUGUGAAGAAGGUUUUUUUUUUUUUUUUUAAAAUCCGCAAAAGGGGUGAAGUGGAAAAAUGAAAAAUCUCUCAUUAUGAAAGAAAACAAAACAAUAGAAAAUCACCUAGACUGGGGAGGAUGUCUUCAAAAGUAGGAAGAAACCUCCCAUGGAAGAGAAAAGCCCCCCUCUCCUGAGGAGGGUGCCGUUGUUUCACGUCAAGG
rnacentral:lncRNA from 1 species